CCGGGAGUCCUGGCCCUGAGCUCCUCUUCCACGAGGGCCAACAAAAGCGGUUCUGCAACACAACCUGCUUGGGGGCGUACAAGAAGAAAAACACACGUGUGUACCCAUGUGUCUGGUGCAAGACCCUGUGUAAGAACUUUGAGAUGCUAUCACAUGUGGAUCGUAAUGGCAAGACCAGCUUGUUCUGUUCCCUGUGCUGUACCACUUCUUACAAAGUGAAGCAGGCAGGGCUCACUGGUAGGUGCAAAGCCCUCUUCUCUGAGUCCCCUGCUGGCCUUCUCUCUACCUCCCAUACUCCCCUCUUCCAGAGUAAUCCUUGCUGCCCGACCUCAGUCCCAACCACAUCUCCCCAUGGAUUUUCUGUUCGUCUCUUACACUGCCUUACACCUUCUGUGUGCUCUCUCUCUCCCUCUCUCUUUCUCUUUUCCUCUCUCUCUUUCUCUCUAUGCCCCAGGCCCUCCCCGACCCUGCAGCUUCUGCCGCCGCAGCCUCUCUGACCCCUGUUACUACAACAAGGUUGACCGCACAGUCUACCAGUUCUGCAGCCCCAGCUGCUGGACCAAGUUCCAGGUACUCCAGACCCUGGACCAGGGAUAGAAGGGUUUGGCAACAUAAAGAGGGUUGGAGAAUUGGGGUAGGCAGGCCUGGGCAGAGCAAAG
rnacentral:lncRNA from 10 species